rnacentral:rRNA from 1 species
CAGCAGCCGCGGUAAUACGAAGGUCCCGAGCGUUGUUCGGAAUCACUGGGCGUAAAGGGAGCGUAGGCGGCGUGGUAAGUCAGAUGUGAAAUCCCGGGGCUCAACCCCGGAACUGCAUCCGAUACUGCCGUGCUAGAGGAUUGGAGAGGUAGCUGGAAUUCUUGGUGUAGCAGUGAAAUGCGUGGAGAUCAAGAGGAACACUCGUGGCGAAAGCGAGCUACUGGACAAUAUCUGACGCUGAGGCUCGAAGGCCAGGGUAGCGAAAGGGAUUAGAUACCCCCGUAGUCCCUGUCUCUUAUAC